rnacentral:lncRNA from 1 species
CCCCAGGGAAGCUUUGGUGCUUCGUGUGGCCUCAACGUUUCUUUCUGCUGCUUCAUACCCCAUGCAGUGCAGGUGCUACAUUGUGCCAUGUAUGUUCUCAGCUGUGCAUUCAUGCCUGGCCAGUAGACACACUCGCAAGCUCUUCUCAGACAUCCCUCUGUUCCUAUGGCUACUUCCAAGGGUACAUGUCCUUUCACUUCAGGGCAUUUUUCAUUUUUUUCUCUCAUGUGUCCGUCCACAGUAUCUGCAUUGUAUAAUGCUCUGUCCCUCAGUAGGGUCUCCUCUCCCUUUUGGUCUCUCUUCCUGUGUUAUUGCAUGCACUGCUACAGGGCCCUGCACAUUUAUGACAGUCCUGCAGCUCCUCCAAUCUGUAUGCAUUUCUCUAAACUAAGAUCAGUCUCUCUGAGCAAGCGCUCUCUUAGGCCACACACAAUCCUGUCCCUGAUAAGAGAGUCUGUGAUUACUCCAAAGUCGCAGGUGGCCACUAGAGUCCUCACUUCAUUGAGAUAUUUGUCUAAACUCUCAUCUUGGCCCUGACUUCGCAUUAAAAAAUUAUCUCUCAAUUGUUUCAUUUUUCUUGGGAUCACAAAAUGCAUCCAGUGCUGCAAUUACUUCUUCAACAAAGAGAUUGUCUUUUGUACUGCCCACACAUAGGGUCUCACAAAUCUCUCUGCCUUUUUCCCCAAUGAGAUAAUAGAGUAGCUUCACUUUGUAGUCAUCACGUUUUUCUCUCAUUGUAAGAGCCAUG